rnacentral:rRNA from 1 species
UACGUAGGGGGCAAGCGUUGUCCGGAAUCAUUGGGCGUAAAGAGCGUGUAGGCGGCUCGAUAAGUCUGCUGUGAAAGACCAGGGCUCAACCCUGGAAGGCCGGUGGAAACUGUCGGGCUAGAGUCCGGAAGAGGCGAGUGGAAUUCCCGGUGUAGCGGUGAAAUGCGCAGAUAUCGGGAGGAACACCAAUGGCGAAGGCAGCUCGCUGGGACGGUACUGACGCUGAGACGCGAAAGCGUGGGGAGCAAACAGG